rnacentral:rRNA from 1 species
UACGUAGGGGCCUAGCGUUGUCCGGAUUUAUUGGGCGUAAAGAGCGUGUAGGCGGUCCGGUAAGUCCGCUGUAAAAGUCAAGGGCUCAACCCUUGAAAGCCGGUGGAUACUGCCGGGCUAGAGUCCGGAAGAGGCGAGUGGAACUCCUGGUGUAGCGGUGAAAUGCGCAGAUAUCAGGAAGAACACCUACGGCGAAGGCAGCUCGCUGGGACGGUACUGACGCUGAGACGCGAAAGCGUGGGGAGCAAACAGG